GGAGUUGUGGCUCAGUGGUAGAGUGCUUGCCUAGCACUCAUGAGGCACGGGGUUCAAUUCCCAGCAUCACAU
rnacentral:tRNA from 1 species